CCGAGUGAGGGUCCUCCGGGGCCCGACCUCCAACCCUUUUGUGAACCACCCUGUUGCCUCGGGGGCGACCCCGCCGUCGGCCGUCCGCGGCCGGCGUGCGGGGGCCCCCGGUGGCCCAUUUGAACCCUGCGUAACUGAGUCGUCGGAGUAUAAAUAAAUAAUCA
rnacentral:misc_RNA from 1 species